CAAUGCUGAAGGUGAUAAGAAUGGUAGUAGUUGCUCCUGCGUGUCACCAUCUGCUGUGGUUUAUGACACUGGGGGACAGCACCACAGUUGUGGCUGUGCGCUAUUGAUUCUCUUCAGCGGGUCAUCAGGGAGGCUAGUGUGUUUUCUGCACACAAAAGAGAGCGCUACACACACGUGUCUCGUGUAUAUAUGUGCGCAGAAAAAAUAUAGUAGCGGCCCUCGUCUAUAUUGUGGUUUUUUUGGAUUGAGAUAUAGUUAUUGAGGGGCAGUCGGGGGCACACUCACACCGCCACGUGAGAGGAAAUUCUCUGAUAUCGGCACGACACGCUACUGCGAAAGCACUUGCCCCGAGAGUUUUCUCUUAUCUCGAAAGAAAAAGUAGGGUUUGAGAAGGAUCUCAUACCCCCCUAGUGGUUACCCUAAAAUAUUGCGAGACAAAACGUGCGUGGGUUUUUUAAGUCCCCCCAUGAACCUACCCCGAAAAGCCAAGUUUUUGGUUUCCUGGGGAAGUAUAGUUCGCAAGUCCGAAACUUAAAGGAAUUGACGGAAGGGCACCACCAGGGGUGGAGCCUGCGGCUUAAUUUGACUCAACACGGGGAAACUCACCCGGCCCGGACACUGGAAGGAUUGACAGAUUGAGAGCUCUUUCUUGAUUCGGUGGGUGGUGGUGCAUGGCCGUUCUUAGUUGGUGGAGUGAUUUGUCUGGUUAAUUCCGAUAACGAACGAGACUCUGGCCUACUAACUAGUGAUCGGAUUUUUCAGUCCGAUCGACUUCUUAGAGGGACAAGCAGUGUUCAGCUGCAUGAAAAAGAGCAAUAACAGGUCUGUGAUGCCCUUAGAUGUCCGGGGCUGCACGCGCGCUACACUGAAAGAAUCAGCGUGUGGGACUGCCUGACUCGAAAGAGUUGGGUAAUCCGGUGAAAAUCUUUCGUGAUUGGGAUCGGGACUUGCAAUUAUUUCCCUUGAACGAGGAAUCCCUAGUAAGUACGGUCAUCAGCUCGCUCGC
rnacentral:rRNA from 1 species